rnacentral:rRNA from 1 species
GGAACCCCGAACUUGCUUCGGGUGGAUGAGUGGCGAACGGGUGAGUAACACGUGAGUAACCUGCCCCUGAUUUCGGGAUAAGCCUGGGAAACCGGGUCUAAUACCGGAUACGACCAUCCCUCGCAUGAGGGUUGGUGGAAAGUUUUUCGAUCGGGGAUGGGCUCGCGGCCUAUCAGCUUGUUGGUGGGGUAAUGGCCUACCAAGGCGACGACGGGUAGCCGGCCUGAGAGGGCGACCGGCCACACUGGGACUGAGACACGGCCCAGACUCCUACGGGAGGCAGCAGUGGGGAAUAUUGCACAAUGGGGGAAACCCUGAUGCAGCGACGCAGCGUGCGGGAUGACGGCCUUCGGGUUGUAAACCGCUUUCAGCAGGGAAGAAGCGAAAGUGACGGUACCUGCAGAAGAAGUACCGGCUAACUACGUGCCAGCAGCCGCGGUAAUACGUAGGGUACGAGCGUUGUCCGGAAUUAUUGGGCGUAAAGAGCUCGUAGGUGGUUGGUCACGUCUGCUGUGGAAACGCAACGCUUAACGUUGCGCGUGCAGUGGGUACGGGCUGACUAGAGUGCAGUAGGGGAGUCUGGAAUUCCUGGUGUAGCGGUGAAAUGCGCAGAUAUCAGGAGGAACACCGGUGGCGAAGGCGGGACUCUGGGCUGUAACUGACACUGAGGAGCGAAAGCAUGGGGAGCGAACAGGAUUAGAUACCCUGGUAGUCCAUGCCGUAAACGUUGGGCACUAGGUGUGGGGGAC